GCCUGAGUGGCUCAGCGGUUGAGCGUCUGCCUUUGGCUCAGGGCGUGAUCCUGGAGACCUGGGAUCGAGUCCCACAUCAGGCU
rnacentral:tRNA from 1 species